AUGAAAAAAAUGGAGAUAAAACAAAGCAGCCUAAAUGGAAUUUAGGAUGAAGAAUGUAAAGCUAAUUCCAGUCUUUCAAGUAUAAAUAAAGGAUGAAAGUGGCUCCAUUACUAUGUAGUUACUGGUAGUUCCUCCUUGAUCACCUAACUUCACUAAAAUGGUGGUUGUCAAGAGUAUGACUCUAGAGUUUGAUACAGUCAUCAUCGACGAUGAAUCGAUUCAUCGCACUUGUAUUUAUGAAGACAACGAUGAUGAUGACGAUGACGAUGAUGACGACGGAAAGUCCGUAGCGCCGGCUGCAUAGCAUUAUGAUUUUGGAUUAGGGGUUGCCUUCCCAGGUAGAUAGGAAGGGUUGAGAAAGGACUGGAGCAGAGGAUAGUAGUAAGAUUUAGGAGGCUUGUUUCUCUAGAUAUAUGGAGUUUAAACCACUAAAGCUUCUCAUAAGUGAAACUUAUUUGAUGGUUCCAUCUGUGAAGGUAUGUAGCCGUGCUUUGUAU